CGGAGGUUCUGUCGUGGGACCGCUGGAUGCGGGAGUGCGCCGGCUACCACUACCAGCAGCUGGUGGCUGGGGACGGCGCGUCGUCGGCGACGGAGGAUGCCGCCGCCAGAGCCGACGCCGAGAGCGACAGGCUCUUCUGGGAGGCGUGCAUUGCGCACGGCUUCUAGCUUUUUAGCCUUUAGCUCCGUGUGUGCACAGUGCACAGAUCGAUCGGAAGAAUGGAAGGCUCCAUUUGAUUGCUUUUUCUGUUCUUCCGUCGUGAAUUUUCUCGUAAUUACGCUUGGUUGACCCGGUAAAGGGUUUGAUUCCUUAAUAUUAAAAGAAAAAGGGGAGUCCUCAAGGUUUUGUGUAUAUGUUGUGAGGUUAAUUGCACCAAUACUUUGCUAUUUGUCGCUGUGAAUUUUUCUUAUCACCCACCUAACCAUUCACAGCUCCGACACCUUUUGUUCUAAAUUUCUUCAUUUCUACCAAACCUCCUGCAGAAUCAAAUCUUGUUUCUCACUAGAUCCUACAUCAGCUAUACAUCGUGUCCUUGCAUUGAUGCCUGUUUGGCUAUCUGAUCCCAAUAUUAAUUUCUAAUCUUAGCCUAAUAUUGAUCAUCUCUGCUAAUGCGGAAUUAAUUUGAUCUACGGACCUGAUUGAGAAGCC
rnacentral:lncRNA from 1 species